rfam:Salmo salar isolate Sally breed double haploid chromosome ssa04, whole genome shotgun sequence.
CAAUUAAGCUCCUGUAAGUCGCUCUGAAUAAGAGUGUCUGCUAAAUGACAAAUA